UACGAAGGGUGCAAGCGUUAAUCGGAAUUACUGGGCGUAAAGCGUGCGUAGGCGGCUUUUUAAGUCGGAUGUGAAAUCCCCGGGCUCAACCUGGGAAUGGCAUCCGAUACUGGGGAGCUAGAGUUUGGGAGAGGGUGGUGGAAUUCCCGGUGUAGCGGUGAAAUGCGUAGAGAUCGGGAGGAACAUCAGUGGCGAAGGCGGCCACCUGGCCUAAAACUGACGCUGAGGCACGAAAGCGUGGGGAGCAAACAGG
rnacentral:ncRNA from 2 species